UACGGGGGGGGCAAGCGUUGUUCGGAAUUACUGGGCGUAAAGGGCUCGUAGGCGGCCAACUAAGUCAGACGUGAAAUCCCUCGGCUUAACCGGGGAACUGCGUCUGAUACUGGAUGGCUUGAAUUCGGGAGAGGGAUGCGGAAUUCCAGGUGUAGCGGUGAAAUGCGUAGAUAUCUGGAGGAACACCGGUGGCGAAGGCGGCAUCCUGGACCCCCACUGACGCUGAGGCGCGAAAGCCAGGGGAGCGAACGGG
rnacentral:rRNA from 1 species